GGGUCAGUAGGUUGGUCGUGCCACCGGUACGUACUGGUCUCACUGAUUCCUCCUUCCUGAAAAACCGUAAUGCCACUAAUUUGGUGUUGCGGGGAAACAGGACUGUUACUUUGAAAAAAUUAGAGUGUUUAAAGCAAGCUAACGCUUGAAUACAUUAGCAUGGAAUAAUGAAAUAGGACGAUCGAUCCUAUUUUGUUGGUUUCUAGGAUUGACGUA
rnacentral:rRNA from 1 species